rnacentral:rRNA from 1 species
AUCCUGGCUCAGGACGAACGCUGGCGGCGUGCCUAACACAUGCAAGUCGAACGGAACUGUUUUGAAAGAUUUCUUCGGAAUGAAUUUGAUUUAGUUUAGUGGCGGACGGGUGAGUAACGCGUGAGUAACCUGCCUUCAAGAGGGGGAUAACAUUCUGAAAAGAAUGCUAAUACCGCAUGACAUAUCGGAAUCACAUGAUUUUGAUAUCAAAGAUUUUAUCGCUUGAAGAUGGACUCGCGUCCGAUUAGUUAGUUGGUGAGGUAACGGCUCACCAAGACCGCGAUCGGUAGCCGGACUGAGAGGUUGAACGGCCACAUUGGGACUGAGACACGGCCCAGACUCCUACGGGAGGCAGCAGUGGGGGAUAUUGCGCAAUGGGGGCAACCCUGACGCAGCAACGCCGCGUGAAGGAUGAAGGUUUUCGGAUUGUAAACUUCUUUUAUUAAGGACGAAACUUGACGGUACUUAAUGAAUAAGCUCCGGCUAACUACGUGCCAGCAGCCGCGGUAAUACGUAGGGAGCAAGCGUUGUCCGGAUUUACUGGGUGUAAAGGGUGCGUAGGCGGCUUUGCAAGUCAGAUGUGAAAUCUAUGGGCUCAACCCAUAAACUGCAUUUGAAACUGUAGAGCUUGAGUGAAGUAGAGGCAGGCGGAAUUCCCCGUGUAGCGGUGAAAUGCGUAGAGAUGGGGAGGAACACCAGUGGCGAAGGCGGCCUGCUGGGCUUUAACUGACGCUGAGGCACGAAAGCGUGGGUAGCAAACAGGAUUAGAUACCCUGGUAGUCCACGCUGUAAACGAUGAAUACUAGGU